rnacentral:rRNA from 1 species
UACGGAGGGUGCAAGCGUUAUCCGGAUUUACUGGGUUUAAAGGGUGCGUAGGCGGGCUUUUAAGUCAGCGGUGAAAUCUCCGGGCUCAACCCGGAAAUUGCCGUUGAUACUAUUAGUCUUGAAUUAAGUUGAGGUGGGCGGAAUAUGUCAUGUAGCGGUGAAAUGCUUAGAUAUGACAUAGAACACCGAUUGCGAAGGCAGCUCGCCAAACUUAUAUUGACGCUGAGGCACGAAAGCGUGGGGAUCAAACAGG